AUAAAAUAGAAAGAGGGAUUAGGGUUGUACACUGCGACGCAUCAGAUUAUCCUUCCCCUUUCAAACUCAGCCGCGGCGAAAAUCUGUUCUUCUCCGAUCAAGAUCUCGGAUCACCGCCGUGAGAACGGAACUACUUCGUCCCUCAUCUCCCUCUGUCCGCUCGUCUCUUUCCUUCACGAAUAGACAAGUGGCGCCGUGAAGCUCUCCCUCUUUCCACCAGUAACAGCGGUGCAACGGCUCCGGUGGGAUCCUUCCUUCGCCGCUGUGACCAAUAAAACGUGAUGAAGAUGAUACAGAGCGUCUUGGAGCUCGUUGAAGAUUGAUGGAGUUUCGGUUGGAGAUUGCGUUGAAAGUCGAUGAAGAGUUUGAAUCGUGAAAAAAGAAGUGUAUGAUGGUUCUGAAUUCAGAUAGUGAGAGGAUUGAAGAAUGAAUGAUGGAGAAGUUUGAAUUGAAGAUGAUGAAGGAACUUGAAGAUUGAAGGUGGAAUUGGAAGAAGAUGGAGAAAGGUGAAGAUGAAUGAAGAAUCGUGGGAUUGGUGAAAAUGGUGGAGAGGAAGAAUGUGAAGGGAGCUGAAUGAAUGAAGGCUUGGAUUUAUAGGAGUACCCAAGGGCUUGUACAGGUUUUCUUGGUCACACUUUUUUCUUUUUGAGCUGAUACAUGGCUGAGCAGAAUUAGAACUAAAGAUUGGAUUGUCUGUCAUUGAUUGCUGAAUGUAUAUGGACUGUGUCUGUUUUGGUAGCUGACUGUUUGAACAAGUGGUUAGAUAUGGAGAUGAUCAAGUUUAUUUUGUGAAAAAUCUGCAGGGCUGAGCAAGGUUAUGGAUGCAGGGCUGGAAUUCGCAGUAGGUUGUCUCUUGUGCUUACACGGAUCGAAACCACACAAAGACAUGAGGGUAUGGGCCAUGGAAGCUUGAAGAAGUAUUAGCAAUAUGGAAAUGUUCAAGCAUAUGCUUAAGAUCUUUUUCAUGACUUCUCCUUUAGUUUUCUGUUGCAUUUCUCUUUGUGUAAUUUGUAAUUUUGUAAAGGACUUUGAAUGAUAAGCCUAAUUUGAGACCAAAUUGAAUGAUGUUGAGCUCGAAUUUUGAACGAGGAUGUAAAUUGUAAUGGGCAAAACAUUUUCAAAUAAAGUUUGAAUCUCCUUUUUUCCAA